GACGAACGCUGGCGGCGCGCCUAACACAUGCAAGUCGAACGGAGCUGAGAGAAGCUUGCUUUUCUUAGCUUAGUGGCGAACGGGUGAGUAACGCGUGAGUAACCUGCCCUGGAGUGGGGGACAACAGUUGGAAACGACUGCUAAUACCGCAUAAGCCCACGAUCCGGCAUCGGAUUGAGGGAAAAGGAUUUAUUCGCUUCAGGAUGGACUCGCGUCCAAUUAGCUAGUUGGUGAGGUAACGGCCCACCAAGGCGACGAUUGGUAGCCGGACUGAGAGGUUGAACGGCCACAUUGGGACUGAGACACGGCCCAGACUCCUACGGGAGGCAGCAGUGGGGGAUAUUGCACAAUGGGGGAUACCCUGAUGCAGCGACGCCGCGUGGAGGAAGAAGGUUUUCGGAUUGUAAACUCCUGUCGUUAGGGACGAUAAUGACGGUACCUAACAAGAAAGCACCGGCUAACUACGUG
rnacentral:rRNA from 1 species